rnacentral:ncRNA from 2 species
CGCGAACUGACUCGCGCCGGUGCCCGAGAGGGCUCCACGGGAACACGGUGCGGACGGAUGACCGUCCAAUGCCGAGGCUGUCCCUGCAACUGUAAGCGGCGAGCACGAUGCGCAGGUUCCUCUUGGCACAAGAGGGGCAGCCACUGGGGUCCGCCCUGGGAAGGCGCGCAUCGGGCGAUGACCCGCAAGCCAGGAGACCGGCCGGCGUGAUGUCGCUCUU